rnacentral:miRNA from 1 species
UACCCUGUAGACUCGAAUUUG